rnacentral:pre_miRNA from 4 species
UCUUAUGGAUAAGCAAAGGAAGAGGUUUUUUGAGAUGCAAUUUACUCCUGGUGAAGAUGCUGUGAA